rfam:Yarrowia lipolytica strain CLIB122 chromosome F complete sequence.
GGCAGAUUGGCCGAGUGGUUUAAGGCGGCAGACUUAAGAUCUGCUGAACGCAAGUUCUCGUGGGUUCGAACCCCACAUCUGUCA